AACGAACGCUGGCGGCAGGCUUAACACAUGCAAGUCGAACGCAUCCUUCGGGGUGAGUGGCAGACGGGUGAGUAACGCGUGGGAAUCUACCCAUCUCUGCGGAAUAGCUCCGGGAAACUGGAAUUAAUACCGCAUACGCCCUACGGGGGAAAGAUUUAUCGGGGAUGGAUGAGCCCGCGUUGGAUUAGCUAGUUGGUGGGGUAAAGGCCUACCAAGGCGACGAUCCAUAGCUGGUCUGAGAGGAUGAUCAGCCACAUUGGGACUGAGACACGGCCCAAACUCCUGCGGGAGGCAGCAGUGGGGAAUAUUGGACAAUGGGCGCAAGCCUGAUCCAGCCAUGCCGCGUGAGUGAUGAAGGCCUUAGGGUUGUAAAGCUCUUUCACCGAUGAAGAUAAUGACGGUAGUCGGAGAAGAAGCCCCGGCUAACUUCGUGCCAGCAGCCGCGGUAAAAC
rnacentral:rRNA from 1 species